GAUGAACGCUGGCGGCGUGCCUAAUACAUGCCAGUCGAGCGAACAGACGAGUUGCUUUCUCCUCUGACGUUAGCGGCGGACGGGUGAGUAACACGUGGAUAACCUCCCUAUAACACUUGGAUAACUUCGGGAAACCGGAGCUAAUACCGGGUAAUAUAUUGAACCGCAUGGCUCCCUAGUGAAAGACGGUUUUUGUGUCACUUAUAGAUGGGUUCGCACCGCAUUAGCUAGUUGGUAAGGUAACGGCUUACCAAGGCAACGAUGCGUAACCGACCUGAGAGGAGGAUCGGCCAACCGGGAACUGAGGCACGGUCAUGAUUCCUACGGGAGGAGGCAGUAGGGUAUUUGCCGCAAGGGGCGAAAGCCGGACGGAGCAACGCCGCGUGGGUGAUGACGGUCUUCGGAUCGGAUGACUCUGUGAUUAGGAAAGAAGAACUGCGGAAGUCACUAUGCACGGCUUUACGGUACCAAGACAGAAAGCCACGGCUAACUAGGUG
rnacentral:rRNA from 1 species